rnacentral:lncRNA from 1 species
UAAAAAUACCCGACACUAGAACUCCACUACGCGACAAUAGAACUCCAAUAAAUUAUUUAAUUAUAUUCAUGUUCGACAAUAAAAUAGAACUCUAUUGAAUUUAAAAUAUUUUAAAUGUCCAACUCUCGACAUGGAAAUAACUGAGUUCAGGAAAAAUCUCGAUUUUGACCAAAUCUUGGAUUUCGUUUGAAUUACACCGAAUCGACCUCAAAUUUAACGAAGAUCAUGAAAAAUUGAUUUAUUUUGCCGAUAGCUCAGUGGUUAAGGCGCUAUCGCUUACUUCCGGUAUACUUCCGGAAAAUUUGCAUAAAACUAAUAAGUGAACUUUGUUCUAGGUAAAUUUCUAAGGAUUUCAAGCUAGAUUUCAGCAAAAAAAAGUGCACCGUUCAAGUUAUAUCAAUAUCUAAAGAACUGUAUUGCUUUGGGUUACAUGUUUCUGUUAUCCGAGUUUCAGACGUGUCCAAUAGAUGGCAUGUGUCCUCUUUUGUUUAUGUCAUGGCGGAUUCAUGGCAGAUUUUUGUUUUGUUGUCAAAAGUUUCCUUUUAUUCCUCGAAAACUACCGAUUAUUUCAUGGAUCAAUUCAAGUUCAUUUCUGUGCAAGUUCUGUAGUAGGAAGGAACGCGAAUGGAAACAGUAGCCUAAAAAUCGUCCUUUUGCUGAAUGCAUCAUCCAGUCAAGUCAAUACAGUUUCUAUUGAUCUUGGUAGGUCACUAACACCAGCAUGGCCACAAUGUUGUUUCUUUCCGAACAUGUUUUCUACAAAUUAUGCAUUGACAGACAAAGAAAGCUUUGGGAACAUAUUCAAGGCCAUGGGUAAUCUUCAGGUUAAUUGCAGCAACUUUGGAGAAGUCACAUGAAAAGAUGCAGGGCACAUACCAACAUGUGUUGUAUUUAUCUGAAUUUUUUACUCUAGCAGUAGAUUCAACAUAACUGUUUGAUGCCAAAGUUAGUUGGAACUCUAACUCAAACACAGAUAACCUGCUGCCUUACAGUCACAGGCAGGAAAAUAAUUCCUUUCUUCAGAAAAUUGUAAGUUUUAUUUUUUGUCUGGACCCUCCAUACCCCCAGUCUCAGAAGAUUUAUUUGUAUGUGAUGUGUAUCCGAUUAUUCAUUUCUCGUGAGUCGUGAUGUCAAGCUUCGGAAACAUGAGUUCGGAAAGCAAUCCAUCCGUUCCGUACAGUCAAUCAAAUGUGGUAAUCGUGAGGGAAUCUUUUGGCUGUCGGUAGGUGGCUAAAAUGGAUUGUCCCCCAUCCACCAGGUGGUGCGAGUGUCUUCGUGAAGACGAAAUAUUUGCCAUAUGUUUCCGAGACGCUGACUGAAAGUGUAUUUCAAAUACUGUCGAUCUACAUUUUCAGCCAUGAAAUGCAAUGUGGCUUUUAAUUUCACUUGGCCAAAUAAUGUGACCACUUGGGUCGAAACUGCUGUCCAUUUGGCCGAAAUGUCGGCCAUUCGUACCCACUUCAGAGCUAGUAAAUUGAUGUUUUGGUCAGAGAUGGAGAUCCCUUUGCUCAACUGUUGCAGAAGUUGAGAACACAAUAAAGUCUGACCUUCAUGGCUGUCAUAUCAUUAACAUGGUUUUGUUGUUGCCAGCUGGUGAAAGGUGUGAUGGAGUCAAGUUGAGCUGCAGCUGCUGCAUCCAGUUUAUCGAGAUGGUGUUAUCCUGAAGUGUCACUGCAGGAAGAUUUUGAUUUGCCAGGUGAAGUCUGCGCUUCUUUGUUGCAGUCUUAUGUGCGCAUGGAUUCGUUGCAGUCAUCCAGUGAAAGGUGUGAUUAAAUGGAGCUGUUGCAUGCAGUCUUUGGUGCUGAUGUUGUCCUGGAGUGUGGGAGAGUCCCAUGCUUCAAGUCUUCUGUGAUCAGCCAUAUCUGAGUUGACGCUGGAUCAUGCUGCAUUGUGGUUGCCGAAAUGUUGGACAUCUAGUAGAACUGCAAGAAGACUCCUUGAAAUGGUUUAUGUUUACGUAGCAGUGAUGUUGCUGUCCAAUAUGGCAUGUUGUUGCAGCCUAUACUG